rnacentral:rRNA from 1 species
GAUGAACGCUGGCGGCGUGCCUAAUACAUGCAAGUCGAGCGAACAGAUGAGGAGCUUUCUCCUCCGACGUUAGCGGCGGACGGGUCAGUAACACGUGGAUAACCUACCUAUAAGACUGGGAUAAUUUCGGGAAAUCGGAGCUAAUACCGGAUAAUAUAUUGAACUGCAUGGUUCAAGAGUGAAAGACGGUUUUGCUGUCACUUAUAGAUGGAUCCGGGCCGCAUUAGCUAGUUGGUAAGGUAGCGGCUUACCAAGGCAACGAUGCGUAGCCGACCUGAGAGCGACGAUGCACAGCCUGUAUGUGAGGAACAGUCGAGACUCCGAGAGUGAGCCACGGCCGAGACUCCUCCGCGAUGGAGCAGUGGCUAACGGAGCACAGUGGCGUAAAGCAUGAAGGAGUUCGGCUGGGAGAACGCUGUUGUUAGGGAGGAUGAAAUGUGUAUGUAACUAUGCAGAUCUUGACGGUACCUGGAGAAUAAGCCACGGCUAACUACGUG